GAUGAACGCUGGCGGCGUGCCUAAUACAUGCAAGUCGAGCGAACAGACGAGGAGCUUGCUCCUCUGACGUUAGCGGCGGACGGGUGAGUAACACGUGGAUAACCUACCUAUAAGACUGGGAUAACUUCGGGAAACCGGAGCUAAUACCGGAUAAUAUAUUGAACCGCAUGGUUCAAUAGUGAAAGACGGUUUUGCUGUCACUUAUAGAUGGAUCCGCGCCGCAUUAGCUAGUUGGUAAGGUAACGGCUUACCAAGGCAACGAUGCGUAGCCGACCUGAGAGGGUGAUCGGCCACACUGGAACUGAGACACGGUCCAGACUCCUACGGGAGGCAGCAGUAGGGAAUCUUCCGCAAUGGGCGAAAGCUUGACGGAGCAACGCCGCGUGAGUGAUGAAGGUCUUCGGAUCGUAAAACUCUGUUAUUAGGGAAGAACAAAUGUGUAAGUAACUAUGCACGUCUUGACGGUACCUAAUCAGAAAGCCACGGCUAACUACGG
rnacentral:rRNA from 1 species